ensembl:lncRNA
GAGGAGGUAUUCGUCCGAAUACGGGUGGGUUAUUAUAAAGUCAGACAAGACUAAAUUCUUAUUUUUGAGAACGUGUUUUUUCGGAUGAGCAGAGGAAAUAAGGUGUAGCUGCUGAAGGUGCUCCAGGCAAAUUUGGAGCAUUAAUGGAGGACUUCAAGUGGGAACCCAAGACUGUGACUCAGAGUGGACCUGAGUCCUAUUCCAAGAAUACUGGGCAUGAUGCCCACCUCGACCUCGGAUGGGACACCAGUCCAUCACAGGGUACUUUACACAGACUCAUUCACACUUACGGGCAAUUUAGAGUCGCCAGUCCAACUACUGACAUUUUUGGAGGUGGGAGGAAACCGGAGAACCCGGAGUAGAUCCAAGUUUCUGUUAAUGGAAGAGCAAGAUAUAAAUCCCAUUUGCACAACUAUCAGUAAUGUAAAUAAUGAUUAGCCGUAGUGAAGAGAUACCAAUGUGACCAUGAACGUUUUAACUGCAACUAACUCGAAUUUAAACUAACAAGUCAACUCAGAAUUUUAUUAGAAAUUAAAUCUAGGAUUGCGCGUUACUGCUAAAGUUUAAUAUGCAAUUUGUUUCCAAGUGGAUUUUUCCUUUAAGUGCC